rnacentral:rRNA from 1 species
AUUGAACGCUGGCGGCGUGCUUUACACAUGCAAGUCGGACGGCAGCAUUGCUUUCGGGCAGAUGGCGAGUGGCGAACGGGUGAGUAAUACAUCGGAACAUACCAUAUAGAAUGGGAUAACUCAUCGAAAGAUGAGCUAAUACCGUAUAAUCUCUGAGGAGGAAAGCUGGGGACUAGCAAUGGCCUGGCGCUAGAUGAAUGGCCGANGGUCGAUUAGCUAGUUGGUGGGUAAAGGNUUACCAAGGCGAUGAUCGAUAGCUGUUCUGAGAGG